UAACUGGUGCCUGUGUCCAUGGUGUACUUGCAGUCUGCUGUUGAGUCGUCGUCGUCCACUGGAAUCAGUUGAAUGAGCGGGCCUUGAAUCAGGGGUCAUCGGGUUACCAGGUUGAGGACACAUAACUUCCGCUGAUAGCGCCACCGUCCAACACUCAGUUUAAUGGUAUGAGUUUUUUUGUUUUUUUUUUCUGUUGUUUGAAUCUCACCACAGCAUCGGUCGGCGACUUUGUUUUUCUAAAUCAGUGCUGCUUCUUUGACAUGAUUUAUUACUUUUUUCUUAUAGAUUGUUUCAUGCCUUAAAUAUGCUUAUGGUGCAGGACUAGAGGGAGUUCAAACACGUGAUUCUAGUGACACCGAGACCCCACAACACCAAAGAAUCUCAAUACAACCAGCUGUCUGACUGUCAAAGAGACAGAGAAUCCGUCAUAAUCUGAGAGGAAUUACACGGGACAGUACACAGGACAAGAUAAGGACACGAUACUGAGAAACCUGGACGAGGGCUGUACACAAACAGCAGAAAGUAAUUCAACUCCCUCCAAGCAAAUUGACAACACAACAUUCAGACAAGAACCGGGCUCAACAUCUGGACAGAGGAACAAAACAAGGACACUAAUUGCCAAAAUGUCAAUAAGUGUCGGCAGAAGCAUUUUGGGAUUGUUGGUGAUCAGCUUAAGCUUCAUCAGUCCAUGGGGCAAGUUUCCGGACCCUGUCUGCUGCUCUGGUCAUGACUGGGACAUGUGUCCCGCCAUCCCUCCAUGUAAUGAUUUCAACUCGUCCACUAAGGCCCUGAUUCAGGAAGAGAUUUCGACAAGAGAAUGAAUAGCCUUAAGGUCGGUCUGAAGGCAAGAAUUCACACUUUGGAGAAUUUCACGAAGGUUGUAAACAUUUCUGUCAUUGACAGUAAAAUGAGAGAGCUACAGAAGGAUACAAUGCUUCUACAGAGAGCCGCAUCAAGGAUAUAGUGGAAAGUUUAAAAGUUAGUCUGAACAAGUCAACAGAAAGUAGAAUACAGGAUGUUAUUUCGGUGAGCAAAAUAAAAUACUUUGAAACAUAAAGAAAGUGGAGGAAGAUUUUCAACAAUUCAGAGAAGUCACAAACACCGAGACAGCCAAGAGUGAAGGACGGUACACAAGAAUUGCAAGAUAAACUGAGAGAGCUAAAACAAGAUGUGAAUAAAUUCACAGAGAACCGUGUCAAUGAUGCUGUGGAGGGUCUAAAUUCCAAACUCCAGCAAACAGAAAAUCGACUCCAGGAGCUUUUUCAGGACCAUACUAAGACGAUUGAAAAUUUAAAGAAAAUUGAGGAUGAGUUUGAAAAAUACAAACAGGUCACCGACAACACGAUAGCCCGGAUUGAACAAAGAUGUGAAGAGACUGAGAAUAAAAUGAAGAAACUGAAGAAGGAUGUGAUGCAUCUCUAGAGAAAGGUAUUAGUGAUGUUUUGGAAACUCUAAAUGCCAGACUAAACCAAGCAGAAAAAAGAUUUCAGGAGGGUCUUCAGGAACAAAACAAAUCAAUUGUAAAAAUGAUGAAGAAAGUGGAGGAGGAUCUUCAACGACACAAACAAGCCAAUGACAUCACGAUAGCACAGAAAGAACGACGAUGCAAAGCGAGGCUCAGAAACACUCGUCAAGUUUUCAACAAAACUUUGGACAACUUUUACAACGAAACUCUCGAUAAAUUUGCUCUCGUGGAGGCGAAACAGGAGUUAGUAUACCGCGUGAUAGAACACAUGAACCUAAUGAGAGCAAGUAAGUCCAGCUGAUUUAUUGGUAGACAGAUGGAAGACAAAUACAUGACAAACAUUCAUUAACACAAAUGCAUAAAUUUAAAAGUAUGCACAGGCAGGCAAAAAGACAGUUUCAUCAAUGUAGAUCAACAAGUACAGAGAUAGAAAACUACAUAAAAAUAAAUAUAACGUUUCAAAUGUUUUAUAAAAAAAAUUAAUUUAAUCUUUGACAAUUUAUUUCCUUAUUCAUCCUUUAUUUAUUCAGUAAAUACAAUAAAUAUAGCAUAUAAUUAUUUUACUAAGUAAAAAUGAAUUAUGUCUUUGACUAUUUA